GUCCUUGUGGCCAAGUGGCUAGAGCUGCUGGUUUGGAAAUAUUCAACCCGGGUUCGAACCCCAUCAGAGUCA